rnacentral:rRNA from 1 species
GCGAAGGUAGCGCAAUCACUUGUCUUUUAAAUGGAGACCUGUAUGAAUGGCACGACGAGGGCUUAACUGUCUCCUUUUUCCAGUCAAUGAAAUUGAUCUUCCCGUGCAGAAGCGGGAAUAAUAUCAUAAGACGAGAAGACCCUGUGGAGCUUUAGACACUAAAUCAGCCCUUGUCCAAAAUCCCAAAUAAAGGAAUGAACACUAGAGUGAGACCUGAUCUAAUGUCUUCGGUUGGGGCGACCUUGGGGAAAGAAAAAUCCCCCAUGCGGAACGGAAAUACCAUGUUUCCAAAACUAAGAGAGACCACUCAAAGUAUCAAAAAUUUUGACCAACUAUAUGAUCCGGCUUAACGCCGAUCAACGGACCGAGUUACCCCA